GACGAACGCUGGCGGCGUGCUUAACACAUGCAAGUCGAACGGAAAGGCCCUGCUUUUGUGGGGUGCUCGAGUGGCGAACGGGUGAGUAACACGUGAGUAACCUGCCCUUGACUUUGGGAUAACUUCAGGAAACUGGGGCUAAUACCGGAUAGGAGCUCCUGCUGCAUGGUGGGGGUUGGAAAGUUUCGGCGGUUGGGGAUGGACUCGCGGCUUAUCAGCUUGUUGGUGGGGUAGUGGCUUACCAAGGCUUUGACGGGUAGCCGGCCUGCGAGGGUGACCGGCCACAUUGGGACUGAGAUACGGCCCAGACUCCUACGGGAGGCAGCGGUGGAGAAUAUUGCACAAUGGGCGGAAGCCUGAUGCAGCAACGCCGCGUGCGGGAUGACGGCCUUCGGGUUGUAAACCGCUUUCGCCUGUGACGAAGCGUGAGUGACGGUAAUGGGUAAAGAAGCACCGGCUAACUACGUG
rnacentral:rRNA from 1 species